rnacentral:lncRNA from 1 species
AGACCUGCGGGGGACGACAGGGAAGGGCUGGUGAGCGGAAGGCAGGCAGAGCAUCCCCCCGACUGCUUCACUCAGAGCUCUGCUGCCUCUGGGGACGCUGAUCUGUGUUUUGCCAAGAGGAUCCAAAAAGUCAGGUGGUUCCAGAGCUGAGCUGUACUCCCGAAUAUCACAGCCACGAGCCACGUAUGGCUGCUGAGCACUUAAAAUGGCAUUAGCCCAAAUUCAACCAGUCUGCAGGUGAAAACACACAACCUAUCUGAAGGCUGAAUAUGAAAAAAAAAGCAGUUGCCUUUCA